ACACCACGACCUAGAUAUUUACAUGGACCACUUCUCCGAAAUUUGGAUAGUAGCUAUCAUCACAUGGGCAUUCAUUGGAAAACGUGUAAUUUGCACACCAUAUAUUCCUGUGUCAACUCCGAAGAAUGAUGAACACGUGUUGUUUGUCCACGUAAGAGAUGCAAACAUUGGAAAGGGAGAGGUACAGCCUGGAUACAUGGCUCCGAUCACGGGAGAGCAAUUCUUUUUGAGGUGGCGUUCUGGAGGAUUAAAGAUAACUUGCCUAGAAAGCACCUUGAAAGACGAGUCCAUGACUCUACAGGAAAGUGAGAUUUGCCAUCUGACAGAGCAAAAAGUGAUGUUCACAGUGGAUACACGAACCACUGACAAGAAUAAAGUAAUAUUACAUUUCAUCUUGGAACAAAGCACAACAAAGCAGCUUCUGGUUCCCAUGCACU